rnacentral:rRNA from 1 species
AGUGAACGCUGGUGGUAGGCCUAACACAUGCAAGUCGAAUGGCAGCACAGUAAGAGCUUGCUCUUACGGGUGGCGAGUGGCGGACGGGUGAGGAAUACAUCGGAAUCUACUUUUUCGUGGGGGAUAACGUAGGGAAACUUACGCUAAUACCGCAUACGACCUACGGGUGAAAGCAGGGGAUCUUCGGACCUUGCGCGAUUGAAUGAGCCGAUGUCGGAUUAGCUAGUUGGCGGGGUAAAGGCCCACCAAGGCGACGAUCCGUAGCUGGUCUGAGAGGAUGAUCAGCCACACUGGAACUGAGACACGGUCCAGACUCCUACGGGAGGCAGCAGUGGGGAAUAUUGGACAAUGGGCGCAAGCCUGAUCCAGCCAUACCGCGUGGGUGAAGAAGGCCUUCGGGUUGUAAAGCCCUUUUGUUGGGAAAGAAAAGCAGCAGGUUAAUACCCCGCUGUUCUGACGGUACCCAAAGAAUAAGCACCGGCUAACUUCGUG